CGCGAAAACCUUUACAAUGCACGAAAGUGUGAUAAGGCAACUCCUUGUGCUUAUCCAAAAGAUAGGCUUUUUAGUACGUAAUGUAUACUAAGAAUAAGUGAUGGGCAAGACCGGUGCCAGCAGCCGCGGUAAUACCGGCGUCACAAAGUUGGAGAUCACGACUACUGGGUCUAAAAGUGUUCGUAGCUGGUCCAUAUAAGUCUCUUGUGAAAAGUUCUGUAGCUUAACUCAGAAUUGCAAGAGAUACUGUAUGACUUGAGACCGGAAGAGGUGUAAAGCAUGGAUUGGGUAGCGGUAAAAUGCUAUAAUCCUUUU
rnacentral:rRNA from 1 species